AUCGCUUCUCGGCCUUAUGGCUAAGAUCAAGUGUAGUAUCUGUUCUUAUCAGUUUAAUAUCUGAUACGUCCCCUACCCGGGGACCAUAUAUUAAAUUGAUUUUUGGAUCAGGGAGAUGGAAUAGGGGCUUGCUCCGUCCACUCCACGCAUCGACCCGGUAUUGCAGUACCGCCGGGAA
rnacentral:snRNA from 1 species